UCUGCUGCAAGAAUCAACAGGCUGAACAUGUAAGACGCCGGAGUGCUUUUGAUAAAGAUAAAAAUAAAUAUUUUCUAAAAUUUAGUGCUAUUUUAUUAUAUUUAUCUGCGAUUUCUUCAAAUUUAAGUGCUGCAUACAUUAAUGAGAUACCACUGAAUGUUAUCGUCAUUUAAUCAAAACUAUGACGGAAUCCUUAGUCCAGAAAUUCUUAGUGCAUUCCUGCAACCCAUACUCGCAGUCUUCAGGGACACAUGGUUCAAGUUGUGUUAUUUUGUGGGGAAAAUCAAAGAAAAGCCGAGUGAGUUCCUGCGAUCCUUGUCGGCGUUCUUCCAGGACACAGAUCUGACGUGGCCCCUCGUCCCCGUGUCUACGGCGUCCACACUGAGACUGCGCUCCAUCACAUGUCUCCAGUGAUCCGAGCUGGCCGCCUUGUUCAGGUCACUCGUGAAGAAUGAUGUGCCCAGCUGCUCGUUCAGAAAAAGUGCAUGGAAAGAGGAGGAGAACAUUGUUUGUCCAAGAUUACCACAAGAAUUCUAUGAAAUAUAUGGAGAACAGAAAAGAGGAAGGGAAGAAACAAAGUGUGUUUCAGUUUGAAAAACACAUAAUUUCUCUGAGAAAGAAAAGUGAACUCUCUCUGAAAAAGAGACUCUGAAGAAGAUACCUUCUACGUGGUGAAUUGGUUGGACUACUCAGAUGAGGUAGGUUCAUGAAGCUAUCAUGC
rnacentral:lncRNA from 1 species